UACAGAGGUCCCAAGCGUUGUUCGGAUUCAUUGGGCGUAAAGGGUGCGUAGGUGGCGCCGUAAGUCAGGUGUGAAAUCUCGGGGCUUAACUCCGAAACUGCAUUUGAUACUGCGGUGCUUGAGGACUGGAGAGGAGACUGGAAUUUACGGUGUAGCGGUGAAAUGCGUAGAUAUCGUAAGGAAGACCAGUGGCGAAGGCGGUUCUCUGGACAGUUCCUGACACUGAGGCACGAAGGCCAGGGGAGCAAACGGG
rnacentral:rRNA from 1 species